ACCAAACUAUUUUAAAUGAAGCGUUUUGUUUGAUUUACUAUUGAGAAGCGCAUGUGGGAAACUUAGAUUUACCUCCAUGUGAAGAUACUGAUUCGGCUGCAAACUAUGCAAACAAAUACAAUGCCAGGAAUUGUUUGUUAGCAAGGGGAAGAUAUUAUCUUGGAACUAUUAAAAAUUGCAUCUUCAUAACUGUUUUACUUUGUAAGCAAGAGUGGAGAUAAUAAAAUGCUUCUCACUUGACAAUUUAUAACUGAGAAUGUAGUGCUUUUUCAGAUUAAUAACAACUGAGGUUCAAUUUUAGGUUUGGGUGCAGCUUGGAAUGUUGCUGAUAUAGCUGAAGGAUCAACCGUAGUCAUUUUUGGUCUUGGAACUGUAGGCCUUUCUGUUGCACAAGGUGCUAAACUCAGAGGGGCAUCUCAAAUAAUUGGUGUUGACACUAACCCUGAAAAGCAUGAGAAAGCAAAGGUUUUUGGAAUAACACAUUUUAUUAACCCAAAUGACUUUAAGGAACCUAUUCAACAGGUUGUUAAGAGUAUUACAAAUGGAGGGGCAGAUUACUCAUUUGAAUGUAUUGGUGACACUGGAAUGAUUACAACAGCCUUACAAUCUUGCUGUGAUG